GCCUGCAACUAUUGGUGGCAUGAUUGUAGGGUCCUUGUGUGCCAUCGCUGGAGUGUUGACCACUGCACUGCCUGU
rfam:Astyanax mexicanus Tnplaced_Scaffold3523, whole genome shotgun sequence.